GCAGCCGCCGCGGGAAUACGAAGGGUGCAAGCGUUAAUCGGAAUUACUGGGCGUAAAGCGUGCGUAGGCGGUUUGUUAAGUCUGCUGUGAAAUCCCCGGGCUCAACCUGGGAAUGGCAGUGGAUACUGGCAAGCUAGAGUGUGUCAGAGGAUGGUGGAAUUCCCGGUGUAGCGGUGAAAUGCGUAGAGAUCGGGAGGAACAUCAGUGGCGAAGGCGGCCAUCUGGGACAACACUGACGCUGAGGCACGAAAGCGUGGGGAGCAAACAGGAUUAGAUACCCGUGUAGUCCCUGUCUCUUAUAC
rnacentral:rRNA from 1 species